rnacentral:rRNA from 1 species
UGGGGAAUAUUGGGCAAUGGGCGCAAGCCUGACCCAGCAACGCCGCGUGAAGGAAGAAGGUCUUCGGAUUGUAAACUUUUGUUGUUAGGGAAGAAAAAAGACAGUACCUAACGAGGAAGCCCCGGCUAACUACGUGCCAGCAGCCGCGGUAAUACGUAGGGGGCAAGCGUUGUCCGGAAUUACUGGGCGUAAAGGGCGCGUAGGCGGCAUAUUAAGUUAGAUGUGAAAUCCCCGGGCUUAACCUGGGUGGUGCAUUUAAAACUAAUAAGCUUGAGUGCAGGAGAGGAAAGCGGAAUUCCUAGUGUAGCGGUGAAAUGCGUAGAUAUUAGGAGGAACAUCGGUGGCGAAGGCGGCUUUCUGGACUGUAACUGACGCUGAGGCGCGAAAGCGUGGGGAGCAAACAGG